rnacentral:rRNA from 1 species
UACGUAGGGGGCAAGCGUUGUCCGGAAUCAUUGGGCGUAAAGAGCGUGUAGGCGGCCAGGUAGGUCGGUUGUGAAAACUGGAGGCUCAACCUUCAGAGGUCGACCGAAACCAUCUGGCUAGAGUCCGGGAGAGGAGAGUGGAAUUCCUGGUGUAGCGGUGAAAUGCGCAGAUAUCAGGAGGAACACCGGUGGCGAAGGCGGCAUCCUGGACCAACACUGACGCUGAGGAGCGAAAGCCAGGGGAGCAAACGGG